rnacentral:rRNA from 1 species
GACGAACGCUGGCGGCGUGCUUAACACAUGCAAGUCGAACGGAAAGGCCCUGCUUUUGUGGGGUGCUCGAGUGGCGAACGGGUGAGUAACACGUGAGUAACCUGCCCUUGACUUUGGGAUAACUUCAGGAAACUGGGGCUAAUACCGGAUAGGAGCUCCUGCUGCAUGGUGGGGGUUGGAAAGUUUCGGCGGUUGGGGAUGGACUCGCGGCUUAUCAGCUUGUUGGUGGGGUAGUGGCUUACCAAGGCUUUGACGGGUAGCCGGCCUGAGAGGGUGACCGGCCACAUGGGUACUGAGAUACGGCGCAGACGCCUACGGGAGGCAGCAGUGGGGAAUAUUGCACAAUGGGCGGAAGCCUGAUGCAGCAACGCCGCGUGCGGGAUGACGGCCUUCGGGUUGUAAACCGCUUUCGCCUGUGACGAAGCGUGAGUGACGGUAAUGGGUAAAGAAGCACCGGCUAACUACGUG